rfam:Salmo salar isolate Sally breed double haploid chromosome ssa18, whole genome shotgun sequence.
UGCACUCACUACUGUAAAUCGCUCUGGAUAAGAGUGUCUGCUAAAUGACUAAAA